rnacentral:snRNA from 1 species
AUACUUACCUGGAUGGGGGUAUAUGGGCGAUCAAAAAGGCUCAUGGCCUAAGCUGGUGACCUCCAUUGCACGAAGGAGGGGCACUAGUUUACCAUCUCCCCAAGUGGGAGAAUAGACAUUAUAAUUUGUGGUAGUUGGGGGUAUGCGUUCGCGCGACCCCCUA